rnacentral:rRNA from 1 species
AACGCGAAGAACCUUACCUGGCCUUGACAUGCACGGAACUUUCCAGAGAUGGAUUGGUGCCUUCGGGAACCGUGACACAGGUGCUGCAUGGCUGUCGUCAGCUCGUGUCGUGAGAUGUUGGGUUAAGUCCCGCAACGAGCGCAACCCUUGCCAUUAGUUGCUACGAAAGGGCACUCUAAUGGGACUGCCGGUGACAAACCGGAGGAAGGUGGGGAUGACGUCAAGUCCUCAUGGCCCUUAUAGGUGGGGCUACACACGUCAUACAAUGGUCGGUACAGAGGGUCGCCAACCCGCGAGGGGGAGCCAAUCCCAGAAAACCGAUCGCAGUCCGGAUCGCACUCUGCAACUCGAGUGCGUGAAGUCGGAAUCGCUAGUAAUCGCGGAUCAGCAUGUCGCGGUGAAUACGUUCCCGGGUCUUGUACACACCG